AGUAACGCGUGGGUAACCUGCCUCAUACAGGGGGAUAACAGUUAGAAAUGACUGCUAAUACCGCAUAAGCGCACGGGACUGCAUGGUCCAGUGUGAAAAACUCCGGUGGUAUGAGAUGGACCCGCGUCUGAUUAGCUAGUUGGUGGGGUAAGGGCUCACCAAGGCGACGAUCAGUAGCCGGCCUGAGAGGGUGACCGGCCACAUUGGGACUGAGACACAGCCCAAACUCCUACGGGAGGCAGCAG
rnacentral:rRNA from 1 species